rnacentral:rRNA from 1 species
GUGCACCAGUCGCGAAUACUUUACAAUGUGCGAAAGCACGAUAGGGGAACUCUGAGUGCCUCCUAAGGAGGCUGUUCGGGUGUCUAAAAGCACCUGAAGGAAGGGCUGGGUAAGACCGGUGCCAGCCGCCGCGGUAACACCGGCAGCCCAAGUGGUAGCCACGUUUAUUGGGUCUAAAGCGUCCGUAGCCGGCUGGGUAAGUUCCUUGGGGAAUUUGGCUGCUUAACAGUCAAGCUUUCAGGGAAUACUGCCCGGCUUGGGACCGGGAGAGGUCAGAGGUACUCCAGGGGUAGGGGUGAAAUCCAUUAAUCCUUGGGGGACCACCGGUAGCGAAGGCGUCUGACCAGACCGGAUCCGACGGUGAGGGACGAAGGCUAGGGGCGCGAACCGGAUUAGAUACCCCUGUAGUCCCUGAA